CACACCGCCCGUCACGCCAUGGAAGUUGGGAGUGCCCGAAGUCGGUGGGCUAACCCGGGGGCAACCCUGGGGAGCAGCCGCCGAAGGCGAGCCCGAUGACUGGGGCG
rnacentral:rRNA from 1 species